GAUGACCUUUUAAUCCUCUUUCCCAUUGUCAGUGAUCUCUUUAGGAUCCUAUGCACUAUCAUAGUUUAUUCACACCAGAGCAACUAUUCAGUAUUUCCACAUGUGUGACUUAUGUAUUUCCCUUUGGAGGAUAUCAUACUCAGGCACAUAUCGCAGGGAUAGCCCAGGCAGUGUGUGCUAGUGCUGUUUAAUCCACCCAUUGAGCCAAGGCCAUUGUUCUGCUAAAUUGGUCUUGCCAUCUCGAUUUCCUCCUGAGAUGUAUUCGACUGAAACUUUGUGGGAGGAAAUAGAUGUGGAUUUUAUAUUGAGAGGCCUAAGAUUGGAGUCAAUGAGGCAAAUUUGGAAAGCUGAGAUAAUAAUUCAGUGUGGUCAGAGGAUGCUAGAGUGUCAGAGUGUGCAGUUAGGGUGAGGGCCAUGACAGAGCUCAGCUGUCAUAAUGCCAGGAAGUGGGCAGCUUGGAACGUUUUCCACGGUUGCCAGGGAAGGCUGGAUUGUGGUAACCAUGGAGACUGCAGCAGACAGGCUUGGCCCCGAGAGUGAACCUCACCAUUUGGGCAGAUGUCCUGGCUCCUGCCCAAACAUGCAUGAGAGAUGUCACACUGAGGACAUCGUGAGGAUUUGUAUCUCUCACUCAUGUGGGACGAAGGUGGAUGACAUACCAUGCUUUGUGGCGAGGUCUUCUAUUUAUGGAAAGAAAGUCCCAGUGACAUUCACUGUGCCUCUCUCACCGGUUCUCCGGCCCUUGAGAACAUUAGAGCCUCCUGCUCCCUCCUAAGAAGCCACUGCUGAGGACAGUGUGAAAACACAGCCACUGGAGGAACAGGUUCCCUUCUGACCAUCUGGCUUUCUUCACAAUCUCAGAGACCCUAGAGCCCUGGAUGCUGCUUUAUCCCCUCACCGUCCCACAUGUCUCUACUUCCUUCUAUCAUGGCUUCCCUGACUUCUUUGGUUCCACUCCCAGUUGUCCAAUUUUCUCUUUUUUGGGAAGGUGAGUGAUUUCAGCCCUCAAAUGACAUGUCGGAUAUGACCUUUGUCCUUAACCGUCUUGGGGAUUGUGCUUCUCAACAUUCCGAAACAUGCUUUGGACGUGUUUUGUGCCACAGCAUUGUAAGACUAGAACAUGGUGGCUCAGUCCAUGACGUAAAUGUGUCUGAGAUGCAUUCAACUAUUGCAGUUGGUAUGUCCUGGCCUGUCCUUUGUUCUGGAAUUUCAGGACGCAUCUCUCCUUAUUUCCUGAAUUGGCUUCUUCUUUCUGCAAAGACUUGAAAAUAGGCCUGUGCUGGGAUUUGGGGGCCUGUGUGACAUGUCAAAUUAAGGGAGACCCAGCCAGGGCCUUUGAUCUUUUGGGCAGCUCUGUCUAUUUGGAACGUCUGGGUUCAGUUCCUGCUGCACCUCAUCUGAACAGGCCACUUACUGCCCGGUGGAGGAACCAGCCAUCAUGAUGCCCUGCCUUUCCAAUUUGGCCCUUGCUCCAAGAAGAAUGGUUUGAGACCAAAGGAGAAGGGCCUUUUGCCCUGAGUUAAACAGCAAAACGUCUUAGAGUGCUGAGGUUCAGGGAACUUUCAUAGGGGAACCUCAAGCAUUCAGGUGUUUCAUCUGCUCAUCUGGUGCUUGAGUGAGGGCUGUAGUGUUGUGAAAA
ensembl:lincRNA